CACCCUCCCGGCCGCCCUCCUCACCCUCCCGGGACUCCAGAGGCCGCCCUUCAAGCAUUCCCUCAGCCGCCCUCGCCUCGGGCUGCCCGCGCGUUAGCCGCAGCGCAGCUGUCCCUCUUCCCCGGGCCAUCGCUGUGUGAGGGUCUUGAGUUUGGUGCUCCUUUCUCCUGAGGGUCUCCUGUGUGCUUCCUGUUCCAGUCAGGAGCUGCGGAGAAGGAGGGCAUGACGAGGGUUCUGGUUCAUCAUCAGAAUGAACUGUUCCCAAACAUGGAGCAGACCCCAAGGAUGUGAGAGUGCUCUGGGAAAUGAGAAACAAAUGGAGAAGGACGAAGCUGGCUUGGUAUGUUAUUGGAAGGUACUUGCAAUGUCUUCCUUCUGAAAUGUAUCUUUGAGAGCAUUAGAAUGAUAUUGAGAAAGGAUAGAGAAUUGCAUUUAGUUCUUUUCCUUGAAAAGGGGAGGGGAUUGUGUCACAGCCAGACAUUCCACUUUAUGGUAGAUUGAGUCCUGUUUUGUUGCUUAUUUUUCCUCAGGUGUUUGUGUAUGUGAAUUUUCCGGAAACAUUGAGUGCAUGGAGCCCUCCAUAGAAAUCUUGAGGAUCCUGGAUGCAAUCCUAUCAUAUGGCCAAAAUGAAUCAUUCAUAGGGCUAGAAGAGCAAGAUGAGGUCUCUCUCACUCACUAGCUCAGAUUCCCUGAAAUUAUUGUUUGUAGAACAGUAAAGCUCCUAAGUAAAUGUUAUUAAAAUCCCUUUGUGAUAAACUUCA